rnacentral:rRNA from 1 species
GUGCCAGCCGCCGCGGUAAUUCCAGCUCCAAUAGCGUAUAUUAAAGUUGUUGUGGUUAAAAAGCUCGUAGUUGAACCUUGGGCCUGGCUGGCCGGUCCGCCUCACCGCGUGCACUGGUCCGGCCGGGCCUUUCCCUCUGUGGAACCCCAUACCCUUCACUGGGCGUGACGGGGAAACAGGACAUUUACUUUGAAAAAAUUAGAGUGCUCCAGGCAGGCCUAUGCUCGAAUACAUUAGCAUGGAAUAAUAAAAUAGGACGCGCGGUUCUAUUUUGUUGGUUUAUAGGACCGCCGUAAUGAUUAAUAGGGACAGUCGGGGGCAUCAGUAUUCAACUGUCAGAGGUGAAAUUCUUGGAUCAGUUGAAGACUAACUACUGCGAAAGCAUUUGCCAAGGAUGUUUUCAUUAAUCAGGAACGAAAGUUAGGGGAUCGAAGACGAUCAGAUACCGUCGUAGUCUUAACCAUAAACUAUGCCGACUAGGGAUCGGACGGUGUUAUUCAUGACCCGUUCGGCACCUUACGAGAAAUCAAAGUGCUUGGGCUCCAGGGGGAGUAUGGUCGCAAGGCUGAAACUUAAAGAAAUUGACGGAAGGGCACCACCAGGGGUGGAGCCUGCGGCUUAAUUUGACUCAACACGGGGAAACUCACCAGGUCCAGACACAAUAAGGAUUGACAGAUUGAGAGCUCUUUCUUGAUUUUGUGGGUGGUGGUGCAUGGCCGUUCUUAGUUGGUGGGGUGACUUGUCUGCUUAAUUGCGAUAACGAACGAGACCUUAACCUGCUAAAUAGCCCGCAUUGCUCCGGCAGUGCGCUGGCUUCUUAGAAGGGACUUU